rnacentral:lncRNA from 1 species
CUCUCUAUCUAUCUAAUAACUUUAGAGUGCGGCAAUCCAAUCCUUUCGCUCUUCCUCUCUCUCGAAUCACUGUUAAUUAUAGUUUCUGCGGAAUGGGUGGUUUGUAUUCGAACUGGCAAACAGGAGAAAAGCAAAGAAGGGGAAAAAAGAUUUGAAAUGGGUCAAAGUUUGGACUCGAGAAAAACUCGGCUGAAGCGAACCUGAAGAGUAGAGGGGAGUUUGGGGAGUGUAAAUGAUCAACCAACCACACGGUCAAUGGAUGGCCCUAAAUAUCUUCCCGUCUUCUUCCUACUGGAUUUCUG